CCUUGUACACACCGCCCGUCACACCAUGGGAGUGGAUUGCACCAGAAGUAGUUAGUCUAACCUUCGGGGGGACGAUUACCACGGUGUGGUUCAUGACUGGGGUGAAGUCGUAACAAGGUAGCCCUAGGGGAACCUGGGGCUGGAUCACCUCCUUAAACGAA
rnacentral:rRNA from 1 species